CUUUCAUGUUUAACAUAAUUACACAGUCCUCCUGUUGAUCUGCUGAGCCGCCACCUAAUUAUGGACUUCUCGCGUCUUCGUUUAUUUGCUACGCAGAAACAAAUAGAGGCUGUGCAUGUAGAAACAGCCAGAGAUUGAUAGAGAGAGAGAUGUGUUGGUUUCGGUUGUUUGCUUGAUUUGUGCAGAAAGAGUAGAUAAUUCUGGAGCUUUUCAGAAUUGAAGGAGGACGCACACAGUAUUAAAACAAAUUGAUUGAGAGCUGGGUUGCUUUUGAUCGGUGGUGUACAUAUCAUUUGGGUUACCUCUAGAGAAGCUACAUAGAUUGUGGGAAAAAAAUUUUGAGGCACCAGAAAGUGUUCCAUCCUCUUCUUCGUGUUCUUUGGUUUGUAUAUUCUGCUGCUCUCUGCACUUACUCAUUUUACUUAUUAUUUACAUGAUUACAUCCCUUUAGCUUUAGAGUAUUCCUACUCUUAAAUGGUGAAAUCAUGGGUAAGAAGUUCGAAUUGAAUUUCUAUUUUCUGAGAGCACUGUAUACAACUCUUUAGCAAGAAAGUAAAUAUAUGUUGGUUUGACUGAGAGCUUUAGUUUUCUGAAAGUCUGCUGCUUAAUAGAUUAAGCGUUUAAACUUAGGCAUUUGGGUUCAUUCCACGAAAGUAAAUGCAGCUUUACAUGAAGAACAUGACUUACAUUGCUUCCAUAUUGGUCUGAAAGUCAAUAGCUAUAAUCUAUUAGGGUAGUGUUUACAAUGUCAGUUAGAUAUCUUACAGUAUGGAGAGAACAAUUUUGCUUUGUUAUAGACUAGAGAUUGAAGAUUUCUCAGGGUUAUUUCUUUUUUAAGUUAAUGAUACUUCCUUAAUUUGAUUGCAGCUUAUCAAUUUUCAAGCAUAAGCUAGAAACUUUGCAGAACCCUUUAAAUGGCUUUCAUGUUGUUUUGCAAGUUUAUGGUAGUUUUAGCUGGUUCUUUCAAUUGGUUAUGCUUAAUUGACCCAACUAUUUGUCAUUUGGGUUCAUUAAUCCAGAUUCUGCAUCAUUUGCUUGAGUAUGCUUAAAUUGUUUUGUUGUAAAGCCUAUUAAACAUCCUAUCUGCAUUCUGAGUCUAAUGCUUUUCUGUUCCGUUUAAUUUCCUCUCUAAAUGAAAUCACAGGAACUGGGAAGUUUGGUUUCUCUAAAAUGGCAUUGGCUGAAUCAUACACUGAACAAAUGGUUUUACUAGAGUUAGGUUAUGAAUAUUGAGCCAUCGUUGGGAUACCUUCAGAGAAGUUUAAACAUCUUAUCAUACAUGUGCAUUACUUUGGCGAUCUGGUACUUAUCAUCUGCACUACAUUUGUUUUGAAGUUUAUAAUAUUUCCAGGCAAGUUUUUCAAAGUAAAGAGACCAAGGUUAAAACACUACUGCAGAUGAUGCUUUACACUUGAUCUCUGAACUUCAGGUAAGUUCAAUGUUGACAAGCUAUUAAUUGAUGCAAUUUUCUUUGUAUAUCUUUUCACACUUUCCUCUUUAUUGGUAGUACAGAGCAAAACUGUGAAUUUUUCGAAGUUUUGUGACAUUGUUAAAACACAAUUGCAUCCUUUCAAAAAAAAAAAAAAAAAACAAAAAAAGGGACCACACUUGCAUAUGAUGGUUUACACUUGAUCUCUGAACUGCAGGUAAGUUCAAUGUUGACAUGCUUUUAACUGAUGCAAUUUUCUUUAUAUAUAUAUAUAUAUAUAUAUAUAUAUAUAUAUAUAUUGAUUCUAUUCAAAACUUUGCUCUUUGUGUGUUGAGUACUGUAUGUCUCUGUCCUGGAAAAAUACUAGCAGAAGCAAGGAUUUUUGGGGGAUAGGGUUGGGCUUAUAUCUAGCCCAGUACAUUUUUCAUUCAGGGAAAAACCUAUUUCAGAAACACAUGAAUUGUGGCAUUUACUUAAAAUGUCAAUGAUCAUACAAGUCUUCCCUUCAGACAAAAUUGUUGUGACAUUUACAGAUUAGAUUUCAGAAUAUGAACUUUUGCUAUGUCAGUUUUGAAGAGAACAUGUUCAUUUUCAUUGUAUUACUAUCAUUUAUGGUAGCAAGAAGAAAACCAGAAUAGGGGUUACUGUAGUUUAUGAAUAGUAACUCCCUAAGGAACAGUGUGCUUCUAAUCUUCAAACCGGUAAGAAUAGCUUAUGAACAAUACUCCUCUUCGGAAUAGUGUGCUUCUAAUUCUAGACUUCUACUCUGACCGCUGUUUUUCUUCUUACUGUAGAAAGAAAGUUUCUUUUGAGUCUAAUCUCCAAACCUGAGUAGCAUGUUACAAUCAAUGAAUCCACGGAUCUUUUAUUCGAUAGUAAAGAGAUCCAAAUCUGUUUGUUGCAAUAUAAGGUCUGUAACUUUAGUGAGGAUAUGGUUAUGUAAAGCUUUAUCCAUUUUAUUUUUUUGUAGGUUUUGGGAUUUGCUUUGUUCAUACCUAAGAAGAUAAACAAACUGUAAUUAACUACUUCUAGAUUGUUUGUAUAUUUCCUUCUUUUUUAUUUAUUUUACAUUUAUUGCUUCUUCUGCAUAAUCAACUUAACUGGGAUUCUGCAUGUACAGUCUAUGGAUCUGCAGAUGAGUCCACUUCAGUUGAAGAUGCAUUUGAGUCAGCCAGUGAAUUAGAUUAGUGCUAAACCCCCAUUGUAGAAACUUGAUAUCACCUUCGUUAAAAUACCAUUCUUUCUCUUUACAAGCUUGAUUAAAAUAACAGUUGUUGUAAUAUGUAAAAUUAUUAUUGUAUUAUAUUAUGUAGAUCAUGAUUUGAUGAAAAAAAAAAAUGAAAAAAAA